UGCUCCGUUCAUCUCUUUUCUCUAUUUGUGUGCGUGUGUGUGUGUGUGUGUCCUCGUUCCGAGUCCAGAAACAAGCCUGCGUCUCUGUGUGGGGGCGAGGGGUUGGAUCGGCCAAGUGAGCGGCAAGGGGAAGUGUGUGCGUGGCGCAUGCAUGCAUGCAUGCAUGUGUGUGUGUGUGUGUGUGUGUGCGUGCUGCGCUGGGUGUCGUAGCUGGGAGCCGAGUCGCAUGGGCUUCCUCGAGUCCGCCUUCGAGAGAGGAGCUUCGCAGACGAUGUGUAUGGCUACUCACGCCUCCCUCUUCCCCACACGCCGUCCCUCCCUCAGCCCCUCUGCAGGGUCGUGAUCAUCAGCAAAACACAGGAAACACGACAGCAAUGCCAUGAUGAAGGCGAUAUAAUGCGUGUGUGCACGAUGCGAAUGGCAACCGAUACGACGUCCCUUGUGGUGGCACGUCACAGCCGGGUGCGUGGCGAGUGUGUACGUCUGCAUGUUUUUCUCUUCCGUGGCGCGUUCGUAUCUGGAGAAUGGCAUCCGGGGCGUUGUGGGACCGGCAAGAGCUUUUCGUUGGCGUCUUGGUAGCGAGAAGGGAAGGCAGCGCAUGUGCGGCUGUGGUCCAACUCACGCGUCUGCCUCGGUCACUAUGCGCUUUCUGUCACACGUACUUCUCCCUUCUGCAUGUCCGCUUCUCAG
rnacentral:misc_RNA from 1 species